UUGAGACGCGGCAUACGGCUCAGUAACACGUGGUUAACCUACCCUCAGGACGGGGACAAACCCGGGAAACUGGGGCUAAUACCAGAUAGGCGAGGACGCCUGGAAUGGUUCUUCACCCAAAGGGCUUUGGAAACAUGCUUUUCAAAGUCGCCUGGGGAUGGGGCCGCGUCCGAUCAGGUUGUUGGUGAGGUAAUGGCUCACCAAACCUAUAACCGGUACGGGCCGUGAGAGCGGUAGCCCGGAGAUGGGCACUGAGACAAGGGCCCAGGCCCUACGGGGCGCAGCAGUCGCGAAAACUCCGCAAUGCACGAAAGUGUGACGGGGCUACCCCGAGUGCCGUCCGCUGAGGAUGGCUUUUCCUCGGUGUAACUAGCCGGGGGAAUAAGGAGAGGGCAAGACUGGUGUCAGCCGCCGCGGUAAUACCAGCUCUCCGAGUUGUAGGGAUGAUUAUUGGGCUUAAAGCGUCCGUAGCUGGCUUAGCAAGUCUCCUGUCUAAUUCAGCGACCUAAUCGU
rnacentral:rRNA from 1 species